rfam:Emiliania huxleyi CCMP1516 EMIHTscaffold_73_Cont2691, whole genome shotgun sequence.
GCCUCGUUAGCUUAGUGGCAGAGCGUAGCACUUGUAAUGCUAAGGUCGGGGGUUCGAUCCCCUCACGAGGCU